UACGGGGGGGGCAAGCGUUGUUCGGAAUUACUGGGCGUAAAGGGCUCGUAGGCGGCCAACUAAGUCAGACGUGAAAUCCCUCGGCUUAACCGGGGAACUGCGUCUGAUACUGGAUGGCUUGAGAUUGGGAGAGGGAUGCGGAAUUCCCGGUGUAGAGGUGAAAUUCGUAGAUAUCGGGAGGAACACCGGUGGCGAAGGCGGCGACCUGGGUAGAUACUGACGCUGAGGCGCGAAAGCGUGGGGAGCAAACAGG
rnacentral:rRNA from 1 species